rnacentral:rRNA from 1 species
CCUACGGGUGGCUGCAGUGGGGGAUAUUGCACAAUGGGGGAAACCCUGAUGCAGCGACGCCGCGUGAGUGAAGAAGUAUUUCGGUAUGUAAAGCUCUAUCAGCAGGGAAGAAAAUGACAGUACCUGUCCAAGAAGCCCCGGCUAACUACGUGCCAGCAGCCGCGGUAAUACGUAGGGUGCGAGCGUUAAUCGGAAUUACUGGGCGUAACGCGCUCGUAGGCGGUAUGUCAAGUCAAGGGGGAAAUCCCCGGGCGCAACGUGGGAACUGCCGUUGAAACUGGCAAACUGGAGUGUGUGAGAGGAUAGUGGAAUUCGAGGUGUAGGGGUGAAAUGCGUAGAUAUCUGGAAGAACAUCAGUGGCGAAGGCGACUAUCUGGCACAUAACUGACGCUGAGGAGCGAAAGCGUGGGUAGCAAACAGGAUUAGAUACCCUGGUAGUC